rnacentral:sRNA from 1 species
UCUUAGUGUGCCGUCAAAGAGAGAAACGAAUCAAAACCCCUUGAGAGGAGCAGCACUUAAAUCAUUGAGAGUGGAGAAGCUAUAGUUGUACUAGUGCUGGUGGUGUCAUUCGUUCAUUAAAAGAAAGAGAUCGUGAGUCACUGUUUCGUUGUUAUCAUGGUGAUAGGUCAUCCGUGGAGAUUUGAGUGAGAAAGCUGAACCACCAUUGGAUAAUAGAACUUGAUCUAACAAAGAGGACAUGUUAUGACUGGAGAAGAAUAGAAGGAUGGGAAGAGAUCGGUUGUGACGAAGAAAAUGGAAGCGGUGAUGGAGGAGACGUCACGGAUCUUAACCGUUCAUCACCGGAACCAAUGGCUACGGAGACGAGACCGUUCAACGAUGAUGGCAAACCAGUGAUGAGUAUAUUUUGUAGCAGAUCAUAGAUGGUGGUGUUGUGAUCAGUCGAAGGAAAGAAAAAGAAAGAAGAAGAAGAGAAAAGAGGAAAGAGGAAGAACAGUUUCAAGAAUGUUUCUUGCAGGGUGAAUUCCCGACAGACCAGAGGGACUCAGAUAAGG